GACGAACGCUGGCGGCGUGCCUAAUACAUGCAAGUCGAACGAAGCUGUUUUAACUGGUGCUUGCACCGACUUAAACAACUGAGUGGCGAACGGGUGAGUAACACGUGGGUAACCUGCCCCAAAGCGGGGGAUAACAUUUGGAAACAGAUGCUAAUACCGCAUAACCACAGAAACCACAUGGUUUCUGUGUCAAAGAUGGUUUCGGCUAUCACUUUGGGAUGGACCCGCGGCGUAUUAGCUAGUUGGUAAGGUGAUGGCUUACCAAGGCAAUGAUACGUAGCCGAACUGAGAGGUUGAACGGCCACAUUGGGACUGAGACACGGCCCAAACUCCUACGGGAGGCAGCAGUAGGGAAUCUUCCACAAUGGACGAAAGUCUGAUGGAGCAACGCCGCGUAAGUGAAGAAGGUUUUCGGAUCGUAAAACUCUGUUGUCAGAGAAGAACGUGUGCGAGAGUAACUGUUCGUGCAGUGACGGUAUCUGGCCAGAAAGCCACGGCUAACUACGUGCCAGCAGCCGCCGCCG
rnacentral:rRNA from 1 species